GCAGUCGAGGGAGAGCUAUCUUCGGAUAGUGGAGACCGGCAGACGGGUGAGUAACACGUGGGAACAUACCGAGUAGUGGGGGAUAACAGUUGGAAACGACUGCUAAUACCGCAUACGCCCUUCGGGGGAAAGAUUUAUCGCUAUUCGAUUGGCCCGCGUUAGAUUAGCUAGUUGGUAAGGUAACGGCUUACCAAGGCGACGAUCUAUAGCUGGUUUGAGAGGAUGAUCAGCCACACUGGGACUGAGACACGGCCCAGACUCCUACGGGAGGCAGCAGUGGGGAAUAUUGCGCAAUGGAGGAAACUCUGACGCAGCCAUGCCGCGUGAGUGAAGAAGGCCUUAGGGUUGUAAAGCUCUUUCAGACGUGAUGAUGAUGACAGUAGCGUCAAAAGAAGUUCCGGCUAACUUCGUGCCAGCAGCCGCGGUAAUACGAAGGGAACUAGCGUUGUUCGGAUUUACUGGGCGUAAAGAGCAUGUAGGCGGAUUGGACAGUUGAGGGUGAAAUCCCAGAGCUCAACUCUGGAACGGCCUUCAAUACUUCCAGUCUAGAGUCCGUAAGGGGGUGGUGGAAUUCCGAGUGUAGAGGUGAAAUUCGUAGAUAUUCGGAGGAACACCAGUGGCGA
rnacentral:rRNA from 1 species